rnacentral:lncRNA from 1 species
UACGAUAGUAGAGGGGCAUUAUGUUUUCUGGUCUGUGCGUCCGUUCGUCUGUCCGUCUGUCUCGCUUCAGGUUAAAGUUUUUGGUCAAAUUAGUUUUUGAUGAAGUUGAAGUCCAAUAGACUUCAAACUUGGUACACAUGUUCCCUAUGAUAUGAUCUUUCUAAUUGUAAUGCCAAAUUAGAGAUUUUACUCCAAUUUCACGG